rnacentral:rRNA from 1 species
UACAGAGGGUGCAAGCGUUAAUCGGAAUUACUGGGCGUAAAGCGUGCGCAGGCGGUUCGUUGUGUCGGUGGUGAAAGCCCCGGGCUUAACCUGGGAAUUGCCAUGGAAACUGGCGAACUGGAGUGUGGCAGAGGGGGGUGGAAUUCCGCGUGUAGCAGUGAAAUGCGUAGAGAUGUGGAGGAACACCGAUGGCGAAGGCAGCCCCCUGGGCUAACACUGACGCUCAGGCACGAAAGCGUGGGGAGCAAACAGG